rnacentral:rRNA from 1 species
CCUUGGUGACAGCGGAGGGUCAUUACAGAGUUGAAAAACUCCAACCCCUGUGAACAUACCUUUACUGUUGCUUCGGCGGACGAUGGCCCCCCCCGGGGGCCGGACGCCGCCGGAGGUUACAAACCCUGAAUUUUAGUGUAUCUCUGAGUAUAAAACCAAAUAAUUAAAACUUUCAACAACGGAUCUCUUGGUUCUGGCAUCGAUGAAGAACGCAGCGAAAUGCGAUAAGUAAUGUGAAUUGCAGAAUUCAGUGAAUCAUCGAAUCUUUGAACGCACAUUGCGCCCGCCGGUAUUCCGGCGGGCAUGCCUGUCCGAGCGUCAUUUCACCACUCAAGCCCAGCUUGGUGUUGGGGCACCCGGCCGCCCGGCGGUCGGGGCCCCCAAGAACAUCGGCGGUCUCGCCAGGACCCUGAACGCAGUAACUCGCGGUAAAACGCGCUUCGUUCGGAGGCUUCCCGGCGGGCUCCAGCCGCUAAACCCCCUAAACUUCUUAGGUUGACCUCGGAUCAGGUAGGAAUACCCGCUGAACUUAAGCAUAUCAAAGGGGGAAGGAAUUUCUAAUAGAGCCGGGCAGAUCGCAGGACCGCUAGACCAACUCAGGUUACCCGAUCCCUUG